UGAGUACGAGAUGCUACGGCAUUGAAGCAGUCUAUGUCAUACUUCCAAGAAAAGCUUGCACUGUCAUAAAUAAACAAUGCCUGUACCAUAACCGACACAGGUGGGUAGGUAGAGUAUACUAAGGGGCGCGAGAUAACUCUCUCUAAGGAACUCGGCAAAAUGACUCCGUAACUUCGGGAGAAGGAGUGCCUUAUUCGUAAGGUUGCAAUAACAAGAUCCAAGCAACUGUUUAUCAAAAACACAGGUCUCCGCUAAGUCGUAAGACGAUGUAUGGGGGCUGACGCCUGCCCAGUGCCAGAAGGUUAAAGAAGUUGGUUAGUCUCGACGAAGCUGAUAACUGAAGCCCUGGUGAACGGCGGCCGUAACGAUAACGGUCCUAAGGUAGCGAAAUUCCUUGUCGGGUAAGUUCCGACCCGCACGAAAGGCGUAAUGAUUUGGAUACUGUCUCGGAGAGGGACUCGGUGAAAUAGACUUGUCUGUGAAGAUGCGGACUACCUGCACCUGGACAGAAAGACCCUAUGAAGCUUUACUGUAACUUGAGAUUGAAAUUGGACUUUAUAUGCGCAGUAUAGGUGGGAGGCUAUGAAAAUCUUUUUGCGGAAAGAUUCGAGCCAUCAGUGAGAUACCACUCUUAUAAUGUUAGAUUUCUAACUUUGUAUCAUUAUCUGGUCAAAGAACAGUCUCAGGCGGGCAGUUUGACUGGGGCGGUCGCCUCCCAAACGGUAACGGAGGCGCACAAAGGUUUCCUCUGAACGGGUAGAAAUCGUAUCUAGAGUGUAAAGGCAUAAGGAAGCUUGACUGUGAGACCUACAAGUCGAGCAGGGACGAAAGUCGGUCUUAGUGAUCUGACGGUGCUGAGUGGAAAGGCCGUCACUCAACGGAUAAAAGUUACUCUAAGGAUAACAGGCUGAUCUCCCCCAAGAGUUCACAUCGACGGGGAGGUUUGGCACCUCGAUGUCGGCUCAUCGCAUCCUGGGGCGGUAGUACGUCCCAAGGGUUGGGCUGUUCGCCCAUGAAAGCGGUACGCGAGCUGGGUUCAGAACGUCGUGAGACAGUUCGGUCCAUAUCCGGUGUAGGCGUUAGAAUAUUGAGAGGAGCCUUCUUUAGUACGAGAGGACCGAGAAGGACAUACCUCUGGUGUACCAGUUAUCGUGCCAACGGUAAACGCUGGGUAGCUAUGUGUGGAGUGGAUAACCGCUGAAAGCAUCUAAGUGGGAAGCCCACCUCAAGAUAAGUAUCCUCA
rnacentral:rRNA from 1 species